UCUUCAUUUCACGCGCUCUCUCACCGGUCAGAGUGGUAAGAGAGUACGUGAAAUGAAGAGA
rfam:Pristionchus pacificus strain PS312 contig323, whole genome shotgun sequence.